UACGGAGGAUCCAAGCGUUAUCCGGAAUCAUUGGGCUUAAAGGGUGCGUAGGCGGAUGGUUAAGUCAGAGGUGAAAUCCUGCAGCUCAACUGCAGAAUUGCCUUUGAUACUGGCUAUCUUGAAUCAAUGUGAAGUGGUUAGAAUAUGUAGUGUAGCGGUGAAAUGCAUAGAUAUUUCAUAGAAUACCAAUUGCGAAGUCAGAUCACUAACAUUGCAUUGACACUGAUGGCCGAAAGCGUGGGGAGCGAACAGG
rnacentral:misc_RNA from 1 species